UACAGAGGUGGCGAGCGUUAUUCGGAAUUAUUGGGCGUAAAGGGCGCGUAGGCGGCCUUCUAAGUCGAACGUGAAAUCCCUGGGCUCAACCCAGGAACUGCGUCCGAUACUGGAAGGCUUGAAUCCGGGAGAGGGAUGCGGAAUUCCAGGUGUAGCGGUGAAAUGCGUAGAUAUCUGGAGGAACACCGGUGGCGAAGGCGGCAUCCUGGACCGGCAUUGACGCUGAGGCGCGAAAGCCAGGGGAGCAAACGGG
rnacentral:rRNA from 1 species